rnacentral:rRNA from 1 species
CCUACGGGGGGCAGCAGUGGGGAAUAUUGCACAAUGGGCGAAAGCCUGAUGCAGCGACGCCGCGUGAGGGAUGACGGCCUUCGGGUUGUAAACCUCUUUCAGCAGGGAAGAAGCGAAAGUGACGGUACCUGCAGAAGAAGCGCCGGCUAACUACGUGCCAGCAGCCGCGGUAAUACGUAGGGCGCAAGCGUUGUCCGGAAUUAUUGGGCGUAAAGAGCUCGUAGGCGGCUUGUCGCGUCGGAUGUGAAAGCCCGGGGCUUAACCCCGGGUCUGCAUUCGAUACGGGCAGGCUAGAGUGUGGUAGGGGAGAUCGGAAUUCCUGGUGUAGCGGUGAAAUGCGCAGAUAUCAGGAGGAACACCGGUGGCGAAGGCGGAUCUCUGGGCCAUUACUGACGCUGAGGAGCGAAAGCGUGGGGAGCGAACAGGAUUAGAUACCCCU